rfam:Prosthecochloris aestuarii DSM 271, complete genome.
AAAGUUUCUUACGUGAAAGGCUAAGCCAGCCAUCAUGGCCCCGAGUUAUGCCUCUAUUGUCAGCAAUGGGAUGGGGGCGCGUUGACUGGGGAAGAAAGCAAUACCGACCAUGCCGAAACGGCGAAGAAUGGUCGGCUGUGGCGGAGUCAAAGAACG